ensembl:lncRNA
GUUGUAGUUGUUGCUAGUGUAGGUAGUGUUGUAGUUGGUGCUAGUGUAGGUAGUGUCGUAGUUGUAGAUGGUCCCAGAUAAGGCAGGGUUGUAGUUGGUGCUAGUGUAGGUAGUGUUGUAGUUGGUGCUAGUGUAGGUAGUGUUGUAGUUGUAGAUGCUGCCAAAUUAGGCAGGGUUGUAGUUGUAGUUGGUGCCAGAGUAGGCAGUGUUGUAGUUGGUGCUGGUGUAGGUAGUGUUGUAGUUGGUGCUAGUGUAGGUAGUGUUGUAGUUGUAGAUGGUGCCAGAGUAGGCAGGGUUGUAGUUGUAGUUGGUGCUGGUGUAGGUAGUGUUGUAGUUGUAGAUGGUGCCAGAGUAGGCAGGGUUGUAGUUGUAGUUGGUGCCAGAGUAGGCAGUGUUGUAGUUGGUGCUGGUGUAG